rnacentral:misc_RNA from 1 species
GCCUCGCAGUUUUCAUGGUUUGUGCAAAAUUCAUCAGAAUCCACGAAAUGCUGUACUUCUUGAGAUCCUGUAUCCGUGAUCUCACUUUCCGGCGAUCCAUUUGAAUCCUCUCUAACUGAAUCUACAUCCACCACCUCACCGCCUGCAUUUUCCGUGUCUUCAUCGUGACAAUUGAUCUUCUCAUUAAACGAUUCCUUCACUACUUCACUCUGUUUCACGUCGGCGACCUCGACUCUAUCACUCACUUUCCUAGCAGCGAGUUUACGGAGUUCAAGCGUAACAUCAGCAAUCGAGUAAUACUUCUGCAUCUGAAGAAUCGGGACCCAAUUCAAUCUCCGUCGAUGUAUUGCGGAGAAAACCGGUUCGUACUCCGAUCGGUCGCCUUCCAGCUGAGUGAUAUGAUUACAAAGCGCAUCAAUAAUCGCAUUUGCAGCGGCGAAU